rnacentral:rRNA from 1 species
UACGUAGGGUGCAGGCGUUAAUCGGAAUUACUGGGCGUAAAGCGCGCGCAGGCGGCUCUUUAAGUCUCGUGGUCAAAUGCCGGGGCUCAACCCCGAGCGUGCCGGGGAUACUGGAGGGCUGGAGACAGGUAGAGGCAAGCGGAAUUCCGGGUGUAGCGGUGGAAUGCGUAGAGAUCCGGAAGAACACCGGAGGCGAAGGCGGCUUGCUGGACCUGGUCUGACGCUGAGGCGCGAAAGCGUGGGGAGCGAACAGG